ensembl:lncRNA
CUGUGAGAGCCGGAAUUCUUACUGGUUGGUAGGUGAUCAAAUACUUAUAUCAUGCAAUAAAAUGCUAAUUAAUUAUAAAAAAAAUCAUACAAUGUGUUUUAGAUUCCGUCUCUCACAGUUGAAGAGUACCUAUGAUAAAAAUUACAGACCUCUACAUGCUUUGUAAGUAGCAAAACCUGCAAAAUCGGCAGUGUAUCAAAUACUUGUUCUCCCCACUGUAUAUAUUUAUAUACUGUGUAUACUGUAUGUAUUCUCUAUCAAACUAGAAAUGGUCAGACCUUUUAUAUUAACUACUGUUAAUACCGCAACUACUAUAAGAAUGUCAAAUAAAGGACAUUUAUUUAGAUUUAAUUUGUAUAGAACAAUGAACAUCCUGAUUUGCAGUAUGCUACAUGACAUGUAUUUAACAAACGUGUAAAAAAUUAUAAUGGUAUCCUUUUGUAUCUACAAUACAAUCAUAAAAGGAAUAAAGACAAAUAAUAAAACUUUAUUGUGGAGCACUUUUUAAACACUGAAUAAUAUAUUCACAGGCCUUAAACUAAUUAUUUUCUGUCAUUGGCUCUUUCUGUCCCUGACAGAACAGCCAGAUCACAGACAACAAAUAAAGACCUAAACAGGCCAGAAAGUCAUAAUGGUAAGCAACUAAAAAGAACACCACCAACAAGAUAGUGUAUACCAGUCCUCUUGAGAUAUUAUGCCAAGAACAUUUCUCUUUCAACCACAUAACAUUGGCCCUGGUUGGAUCCUGCUCUCCUGCCAUUAGGGGCAAUGUUCUUGUUGGCAGACACUCAACUUUCUCUUUGUCUGGCAGAUAAUCCUGGUUACUCAGGAGGUCCUCAUCACCAGACUCACUGAUGGAUGGCAUGGACGGCCUGCUGCCCCUUCUACCUAUCGAGGGCCGCUUCCCAAUACCCAAGGCUAUGUCCUUACUUUCUUGUCUCUGUGCCGCCCUCAGACUGCACAUGUACAGCUCCAUCUCUUCAUCUGACAAGGAAUCUGUGGACGUGUUGUCUUCUUCACCCUCACCCUCUUUGUCAAUGGCACACUGAUCUGUUUGAAUGCCAGACUCCAUGUCUCCAUUAUUGGAAUCCAUUUCUGUAUCUCCAUGAUGAGUUACGUCAGUGAUAAUGUAAUUAUGGCAUGGAUUAAACACGUCACUGGCCUUUAAUGUAUAUUUUUCUGUGUCAGAUUUUUUGAUUUCUAAGACAUUUACUUUUGUGCUCAGACCACCUUCAUCUUCAUGCUCAAUGUCCAUUUGCAUGCAUAACUUGUCUAACAGUUCAUUUUGAUAAUCUACUACAAUUUCCUGUACCUCUACAUUAGUCUCAGCUUUUUUGCUUUCUUCCACCACCACCUCCUCCCUUAAUCGCCAUGUAACAUCCUCCUCAAGCUCCUCCCUCUGUUGUUCUUUCACCUUCUCCUCCGCCAUCUCUUUCUCCUGAAACUCCCCGACCAUCAUCUCCUCCUCCUCUUGCACAUUUUCCCUCCAGUCUUUUUCAAUGUUAUUUUUCUUUAGCAUUUGCUGUCCAUCUCUUGCCUCUAUCUCAUUCUCAGUAUAAAUUAAAUUAUCUUCAUUGUUCCUUAUUAGUUCAUCUUUAGGAAUAUUAUCUGUGGAGUUUGAGACCUUGUCAGCGUAUUUAUCGGGAUCAUCGUUUGUCAUCUCUCUAACUGCCUCGCUCUCUUCAUUGUCAAUACAAUAUCUCUUGGGUUCAUUAAAAACGGUGCUUGACACUUCAAAUGACAGUUCAUCUUCAACUUGAUCUGUUGGUUUUCUUAUCACAGAUUUCUCCAACAAUGUCCAUUUCUUUAUGACAUUGGGAUCCUCCUUCAAAGUUGUCUCAGUGGUGUCCUCCAGUUUGUCUGAACUGGGCACAGCAAUGUUUUGGUGGUUAGUUGUGAUCUUCUCAUCCGCCUCUGUCGCUGAAUUAAAUACUUUGAGAUCAGCAUCAGCAACUAAUUUAAUGCCUGUUGACCACUCAUCCGCAUUGGCUGAGUACAUCAUUUUGCCUGACUCCGCAGGUUUUUCAUAUCCUUCGCUAGCACUCGGCAAAGUCAUCUUAGCAGGGAUCAGCUUCAACCCCAUUUCAGUGUGUGACUUUGGAAGCUCGCCUUUUGUUGCGACUAUCAGAGUUUGUAAAAUCUUGUUGUCCUGACAAAUUUGGUUUUGUGAAGACCACAUGUUCUCUUGUGACCCCUGGAGUUCUGAGUCCUCACUGGAGACGGUGAGAACAGCAGCAUUAGUGUUCAUGGGAAAGUGAGUCCUGGAAAGGCCUCUUGCCUGUUCUAACAGUGGUUCAGGCUCAGACUCUUCUUCACUUAAUCCAGAGGGGAGAUGUUCUAAGAAUAAUUCAGGUUGAUCCAUAGGCUUCUCUUUAGGUGUUUCCCAAGUACCAGCUGAAACACAGGAGUGAGUUUCCACUUCUUCUGCGGAUGGAUAACUCUGGGUUCUCUGAGCUGUUGGAUGCCCUACAUGCAAUCUCAUCCUAAUUUGAUUCACACCAUUGGUUACUGUCUGAUUAUCAUUCUCCACUCCACCAAAUGCCUGAUGGUAUAAUGGGGCCACAACAUUUUCAAAAGUAUAGCUGACAGUGUUAUGUGAAUGUGUUCCAUCUAUACUAAAGACAGGUCUACGCUUUUCCAUUUCCAAAUGCAUCUGAGCAGUUUCCUCUACUUGGAAAACAGACAUAUUAUCAGUUAGUCUAAGAGCAGUGACUUGAUCAGUUGAAUCUGACCGACAUCUGUGGAUUGGUGAGGCCUGCUUCACAUUCAACUCUGAUAGGGCUGAGCUUAUGGUUGAGUCAAUAUUCUCAGGCUUCCCUGACUCCUCCCCAGAAAGACUGUCCUGGACACCAGAACACGGUUUGUUGUACGUAGCUAGGGAAUCAGGAGUCACCUGCAGCCCAGCUCUUUUCCUGCGCUGUGGUGGCAAGGGUUGUUCCUGUGGUAUAUUUGGAGGUUGUUCCUGUGGUAUAUUUGGAGGUUGUUCCUGUGGUAUAUUUGGAGGUUGUUCCUGUGGUAUAUUUGGAGGUUGUUCCUGCGGUAUAUUUGGAGGUUGUUCCUGCUGUAUAUUUGGAGGUUGUUCCUGUGGUAUAUUUGGAGGUUGUUCCUGUGGUAUAUUUGGAGGUUGUUCCUGUGGUAUAUUUGGAGGUUGUUCCUGUGGUAUAUUUGGAGGAUGUUCCUGUGGUAUAUUUGUUCCUUUCUCUUUCUCUUGUGCCUCAUUACCUCUUUGGGUGAAGUAGUCCCGGACCUGCGUCAAUUUUGCUACUUUUCGUUGCUUUCUUCCACUGAAGUCGCUCUCAGCCUGUGAAACAGCAAGGAGAUACCAUUGUCAUUCAAUGCCUCCUCAGUUUUUAAGCUGAUUUGGGGGAGGAUGACAUUGAGAGAAGCAUGGUCAGGUUAAAUACUUCCCAUGACCACUUGAAAAUGUAUUUAUAUACAUUUAAUAUUGACACAUGGAAACCAAUCUGAUAUAAGC